rnacentral:siRNA from 1 species
UGACCAAGUAAUUGAUUGUC